rnacentral:rRNA from 1 species
GAGUUGAUUCGGGCUCCGGCCCGAUCCUCCCACCCUUUGUGUACCCACCUCUGUUGCUUUGGCGGGCCGCGGUCCUCCGCGGCCGCCCUCCGUCCGGGGGGUGGCCAGCGCCCGCCAGAGGACCAUCAAACUCCGGUCAGUGAACGUUGCCGUCUGAAAAACAAUCAAUAAACUAAAACUUUCAACAACGGAUCUCUUGGUUCUGGCAUCGAUGAAGAACGCAGCGAAAUGCGAUAAGUAAUGUGAAUUGCAGAAUUCAGUGAAUCAUCGAAUCUUUGAACGCACAUUGCGCCCCUCGGUAUUCCGAGGGGCAUGCCUGUUCGAGCGUCAUUACAACCCUCAAGCUCUGCUUGGUGUUGGGCACCGCCCUUCCGCGGGCGCGCCUCAAAGACCUCGGCGGUGGCGUCUUGCCUCGAGCGUAGUAGAAAACACCUCGCUUUGGAGCGCACGGCGCCGCCCGCCGGACGAACCUUUUGAACUUUCUCAAGGUUGACCUCGGAUCAG